GGGUUCUACCGUCGGUCGGGCUAUAAGUCUGUACUGGUGUGUAGAAUUUCUACCUUCUGGAGAACCAUCAUGUUAUUAAUUUAGCGUGGUGGGAUACCAGGACCUUUACCUUGAAAAAAUUAGGGUGUUCAAAGCAGGCUUACGUCUGAAUACAUUAGCAUGGAAUAAUAAAAUAGGACGGUGGUCCUGUUUUGUUGGUUUCUGAAUCACCGUAAUGAUU
rnacentral:rRNA from 1 species